rnacentral:lncRNA from 1 species
AAAUUUUCAUUCCCUCUGUUAUUUUCCUCAAAUAUUUUCCCCUUUUUAUUUCAGNNNNNNNNAGUUUCAGUCAAAAACAAAAACGGAUCAAACUUCUAUCUCUCGCAGCCCCAUACCUAUCAUCGCCGCCGUAGAUACUCUUCAUUGUAGGUUUCACUACUCUCUCUCUUCCUCUUUCGCUCUUUCUAUCUCUCUCUACAUCUCUCUGUGUAUGCGUGUCUGUCACAAUUUGGAUGUGGAUUCUUCAACUGUUAAUUGAUUUUGUCUUCAAUUUCUGGGUUUAUGUUAAUUUGUUGAUAUUUUGAUUACUAUGAUUUAGGAUUUUGAGUUUAUGUGUUCAAUUUAUGUAUUCUUCAUUUUAGGGUUUGAUUCAUUGGUUCUUUUUGGGGUUUGAUUCAUGGGUUCUUUUUUGUUAUUCUUUUUAGUUAGGUUUUUGAGUUCAAUUGAAUUUAGUACCACCAUACAGAACACAUGAACCUUAACUCUCCCUCCCCCAUUACAUACUAAACAUCACUUGUGAUCUGAGAUGUUGUCUUCAAUUUCUUUGAAAUUGUUGUUUUAUUUUAAGAGUCAAUACUAAGAUAUUUGCUAAUCUAAAAAUGCAGAAUGUAAAUUUUUUAUACUUUCAAAGUGAAAUUUUGACUAAGACCUGUAUUAGAUGGUAUACAUUAAGAAACAUUAUGACAAAAAUGCAAAAUGUGAAAACAAAGUCCAUGUAGACCCUUGAUGUAACAUCCCGGAUUUUUAUCCAAGAUAUUUCUUAAAAAUCUUAUUUAGUUAGAAAAUGUGACGCUAUUUUUUUUUCUUUUUAAAAUAAAAUGGUUAUAAGGAUAAUUGAAGUGAAAUUCAGAAAAAUAUAAACUUAAUUUAAAAAUGAAUUAUUGUUUGAAAAUUUCCAGCGGAAGAAAAUACAACAAAGAACUAUUUAUUACAUAAAAUUCACAAAUUACAAAAACCAUUUUUUUCCCGUUCGUACGCGCUUCAAGCAUCACAUCACAUUCAAUCAAAGCUUUCUCCUUGAGUACCUAAAAUGUUGGUUGUAAGGGUCAAUUUCCAUAUCCACAUUGAAUCAUACUCACCACAAGAAAAUGUUAUAAAAUAAUAACAAAACACUUCACCUUUCCAAAAACAUAAUUAUUAGUUUAUUAUAAAAACUUUUGGAUGAUAGGAGUCACAUACACAAACAUAGGUAGCAUCUUAUUGUUAAACAACAGUAAUAAACAAGACAAUAUAAUUACACAUAUUACAAAUUGUAUGACAAAAUCAAAUGAAAGACGAGGAAGCAACGAUCACCGCUUUACCAUGGACUAACUAUACUUUUUCUUUUCUUCCUUUUUCUUUCUCUUUGUUUUUAUAAUAACUGGAAUAAUUAUUUACUAUCGUAUUUUUUUUCCCUUUCUAUAUGGAAUGCAAUGUGACUAAAACAACACUAUAUGAAAUACUAAUUAUCCGGAUAAUAAGUCUCAUACCAAUGAGAGAACCAGCCACACAGGCUCCAAGCCACACAGACUAAAAAAAUAAACCAGCCACACAGGCUAAAAGUAAACCAAGCCACAAAGGCUACCUAUAGAAACUCUACUAUACACAUCCUAUAUGAUGCAUGAACUCCACUUCCUUAAUAAGACCAACCUGACGUGCAACAUACUUACUCCUUCCUAUACUUUUAUUUACCUCCCUUAAUUUAUAUUAACAAGGAAAUGACAUUCUCACAAACCGGAAACAUAAUUGUAUGUGUGUAAGUCUAUUGUACUCACCACGACAUCAAGCAUUCCACAUUGAUUCUAUAUAGUAUGAACAUGGCAGUACACAUUAUAAUCAUAUAUAAGGGCAAAAUCACAGUUCACAAGAUUAACCAAACAUAGGCAUACACGGAUUAAAAACAUAUUUUCAAUUAUUUAUUUAUUGUUUUAUAUAUAGGGUUAAUUCAUUUGGUUCAUUUUAAGUGACAAAGGCUUUACUAUCAUUCCACAACAAAUCCCUAUGUAGCAUGAACGUAUGGGGAAAAAGCCCUUAACUCAGCCGCUUUCCUCCCAAUCACAAUAUUAGCCUAAAUUCGCAGCUACAGUGCACACGCUAUAUCAUUCGUUCCAGAGUCCGUUGUGACAAUUCGAUAAUUAAUUAACGAAGAUGCAGUCGCGGUUUUACGGUGACAGCUAGAAAUAAAAUUGAAGGAGAAUAGAGCUUAUAACAAGGCUUGAUGGUCAUUUGAGUUGAUGAGUGUGGGAAUUUUAAGUAAGUGGAAAUAGAAACCGAUGUUGAGUUGUUGAUGGGUUUUUUUGGAGGAGAAAUAGAAACUACCUGGGAGAGAUAUAAGGUGUGGUGUAUUUUGACCCCGAAAACACAUGCUAACAAUGAUCAAUAUUGAAAUGGAAUAACCGCCGAAAAUGAAAGGUAAUGGUGAGUUGUAAUGGUCAAUUAAAUCCCUUAAGUGCAUUAGAAUGAUAUGAAAGAAAAUAAACGUGGAAGUUACAAUUUGAUUUUAGAAUGUCAUUCAUAUCAUAUAAAUGAUAAUAACUUCCAAUUGUUUCUCUUAAUUUUUACUAAUUAAUACUAUAAAAUCAAAGAGAGGUCCGUUUUCUUUUCCAUUUAGUUGUCAACAAUGAAAUGAAUGAAAUUAAAGCCACUAAAGGGAAGAGACUAGUCGUGAGCUUUUAGAAGGGAAAUCAAAGCUAUAUUACUAUUUUCUCAAAUAGUUAAUAAUUAAUAUUAAUAUAAAUAUAAAUGUAAUAUAAUCAUAGUCAAUUUAUGCUAGGAAUGGUUAUUUGAUCGUGGUCACACCCAAUUGAUUGAUAAAAUAAGACAGGUUUCUAAUAAAUUAAAUAAAACAUGUACUAUCACAAUUUUAUUAAAUUCUUCAUACGUAAAUAGUAAAUUAAAAGUAAUAAGAUUAAAAAUGACGAUAUAAAUAAAAUAUCGGGUCGUUAUACUUGAAAUCUCCAAUUUAAAAAUGACAUACUACUAUAAAGAAAAGGGUUGGAGCAUACAUGUUCACUUAAAGCCAAGGGACUUACAUGAACAUAACGUAUAGGUUCAGCCACCACAUAUCAAUCAUAGUGUUUGCUUGUUUAAUUGCUGAUUUUUUUUUUUUAGCAAAUCCAUGACCUGGACGACCAUAUCAGUCAUUUUUUAGAUUGAUCUGUCAUGUAUGUCACUUUUUUAUUUAUGUGUAUUUUAUUUGAUUGGUUUUGAUUCUUUGAUGCAAGUACUGAGGAGAAAAUAAGAAUGCACCUACUAACGUAGGUUCAUCCACCGCAUAUCAGUCAUAGUGUUUGGUUGUUUAAGUUCAAGAAGAAAUUGCAUUCUCUUUACCAUGUCAUAAUUAUGUGGUUUUUAUAUUUCUUACUUUGGAAGCCUCUGUUAAAAUGUUGUUUGUACUUUGUAGUCUCAGUUUGACUAGUUUUUUUGUGCUUUCUCUUUACUAUGUCAUAAUUAAAAUGCUUUUUGGUUGUUAUAUUUCUAUAUUAGGUUGUGCUGCUGAGAUUAGAUUAAGUGCCACAUGUAUGGGGAUAAAGAUAAACCAUGUUCAUAUUUUGUUAAAAGUUCUCUUAAAUGCAAAAUAAAAUACAUUUAUCCCAAAAAUACGAGAAUUAUAUAGAUUCAAUUUGAUAGAAAAUAGAUAGUUUUAAGUUAAUGCUUUCGAAAACAUGUAUUCAAUCAUGUGUUUUGUUUUUAGUUUGGAAUGUUUCAGGUACAAGGAGACGACACCAAUAUAUGCUAAUAUCAUUGUUAGCCUUUUCAUGUGUCUCAACUUUUGUAUCUUCUCUUCUAUUUUUGAGCAGGUUAUCUGAAGAGCCUAAGGUUAAGUUAAUGUCUGAGCCUCAAAAGCUACCAAUAGANNN